rnacentral:rRNA from 1 species
UACGUAGGGGGCAAGCGUUGUCCGGAUUUAUUGGGCGUAAAGAGCGUGUAGGCGGCUUCACAGGUCCGCUGUGAAAACUCGAGGCUCAACCUCGAGCUGUCGGUGGAAACCGUGUGGCUAGAGUCCGGAAGAGGAGAGUGGAAUUCCCGGUGUAGCGGUGAAAUGCGCAGAUAUCGGGAAGAACACCCGUGGCGAAGGCGGCUCUCUGGGACGGUACUGACGCUGAGGUGCGAAAGCGUGGGGAGCAAACAGG